AACGAACGCUGGCGGCAUGCCUAACACAUGCAAGUCGAACGAGACCUUCGGGUCUAGUGGCGCACGGGUGCGUAACGCGUGGGAACCUGCCCUUAGGUUCGGAAUAACUCCCCGAAAGGGGUGCUAAUACCGGAUAAUGUCUUCGGACCAAAGAUUUAUCGCCUUUGGAUGGGCCCGCGUUGGAUUAGCUAGUUGGUAGGGUAAAAGCCUACCAAGGCGACGAUCCAUAGCUGGUCUGAGAGGAAGAUCAGCCACACUGGGACUGAGACACGGCCCAGACUCCUACGGGAGGCAGCAGUGGGGAAUAUUGGACUAUGGGCGAAAGCCUGAUCCAGCAAUGCCGCGUGAGUGAUGAAGGCCUUAGGGUUGUAAAGCUCUUUUACCCGGGAUGAUAAUGACAGUACCGGGAGAAUAAGCUCCGGCUAACUCCGUG
rnacentral:rRNA from 1 species